GCUGGUGGAGUUGGACUGCAACUUGGAAUAGAACACUCGCAGCUGCUUGAUUCGUCCUAUUGCUUGAAGAAGCUGAUAUGGUUAGGCCUGAUGAGCGUAUGAGGUAUAUGUCAUACAAGCACAUUAGUGAUUAGUGAACAAAGGGUAUGACCUUGAAGUAAUUGAUAUAGGUCUUUGAAUCCAUUUGAUCUUCAAUUGGAUUGUAUGGAUGUAAUAUUAAUAAUUUUGUUUUAAUGAAUUUUUAAUAUUGAUAUAGGUCUUUGAAUCCAUUUGAUCUUCAAUUGGAUUGUAUGGAUGUAAUAUUGAUUGUCUUUUACUAAUUUAAAGACGGGA
rnacentral:lncRNA from 1 species